GCAGGAUUAGUUAAGGGGUUAUAACAGUCGCCUUGUAAGCGACAAUCAGCAGUUCGAUUCUGCUAUCCUGCU
rnacentral:tRNA from 1 species